rnacentral:lncRNA from 1 species
GUGACUUUUAAGCAAACAGUUUCAUUGGAGUUAUAAGGACAGAAUUGACAUCACAAAGUACUGAGUGGUCACAAAGUAGAACCAUUGGACACAGGCAACUUUUUAGAAAAUUUAUCAGGAAAGGGAAGAAGAGAGAUCUGACAUUGACUGGAUAUAUUAUAAUAGCUAAGAAAUGUUUCUUAGUACAGUGAAACACAGAUUAUAUUUAUUAAUGGAUGGGAAAGAGGUGCCUCUCAUCACCUACCCCUCUGCCUAGCAGCCCAAUGGGAGUGCUUCCUCUCUCCUCUGACUGGGGGGAGAACUAAGAGAAGAUAAUGACUUGUCCUUGGAGACACAGGAAAUGAGUGACAGACAAUCAGCUUCCUUCUUGGUGUUUGGAUCAGACCCAAGGGAUGAAAUCAAUGGUGUCUUAAGAAGGAAAUCCACUGAAAGGCAAAGUCUCAGUCUUAAUGAAGAAAGGGUAGGGAGAGGAGGAGGAGGAAGAAGAAGUCAAUGUUUGCUUAUUUGAAGAGAACCAUACCAACUGAAAUCA